GCUCAAGAAGAGCGAGCAGAAUAGGCUGAAUUAGAGCCAUCUGUUUAUGUAAGCAAGAGGCGUCUGGUGCUCUUUUCCUCUCCCUUCCUCUGAGGCAGAGUCCAGGGCAAAGAGUACCAUCGCAUACGAAAAGUGGUGCUUCCACAAAGAGGCAGUAGUAAGGUGAGAUGAGACCCUUGACUGCACAGAGCGGACAGUCCAGAGAGAUUCACCACAUGUAAGCAGGCAGCCCCCACACACAACGAGCAUAGCCAGGAUGAGAGGAAGACAGAUCUGUGGGAGCACCCAGGCCCGCUCCCUAAUCCAGACUUACAGGACGGAUGCUGCUCUGAGACCAAAGCUUAGCUAAAAUACAGAGUGGAGAGAGAAAAGAGAAGAGAAUAAAUGUUGACAUCAUUGGAAACUGCCUCAGGCUGCAGCUAACAUUCCUGGUCCUUCCAUCAUUUGUUUAACCUGUGGAAGUCGGGUUUCUAUCAUUUGCAAAGGUCCUUUUAAACCCGCAGCCCUCAUCAUCUUACGAUGGAGUUGUCACAGAAAAACCAAACAACACAUGAGGCACAUUAUUGGCUUCCACUUUAAUAUAACAAAACCCAGACACAACCAAUUUACAACUACUCUGGGAACAAUUGCCGCUGAGAGAGAACUGAAAACUGGAUAAAAAGAACUCCCACAACAAGGGACAGUCCUGACUGCGGUGGAAGAGGCAGAAAUUCCUUUCUGGAGAGGAAAAAAGCCACUUUCAUGAGCUGCAGAGCUUCACGGCCAGCUGGGAGCAAUCCUAAGCAAUAUUUUUUUAACAACAACCAGCAAAAAGACCAUCUAAUGUAUGCUGAGAACUGGAAGAGCAGAAAAAAGACUUUUGCAGGAUGGUUGUCUGAUUCCUUGGGAAAUCUGAAGAGCUUGAAUGGGAAGGCGCACAGACUGAAGACUGUCUCAGGCGGGAAACAACAGCAUAAGCAAAGGCCGGCAAGCCUUCCCUCAGUCAAAGCAUUGGUAUAUUUUCACACUGCAGGCCAAGCCUCAACAAUAACUCCACCAGGAUUUAGAAAACUGGAUAGAUUCUAGAGAACUCUUUUUGAAAUGCUGAGUAAACCAAAGUAAGUAGAAAAUCUCCUUCAUUAUUCACCAAUCAGAGAACAGAAAUCAUCUCCCCUGCCCUUUGCAGUCUGAUGUGUAGAAAGCACCCAGUAAAUAUUUCCUACAUUAACGAGUUCACUUAAAAGUUGGGUCACAGUAAGAAAGUACAUAAUCAGAAAUGAAGGCAACUACGUACAGCAGAGGAGAAAAGAGAAUCUAGGUGAUAUAAAGCAAACGUCACUGUGCUGGCUGGGCAAACAUAUGGUAUGCUAAAUAUUAAGGAAAUUCAAAAGGAGCCUUCAUUGUCAUUAAUAAUGACCUUGUAUUCCAUAUGUGAGUAUUUACCUUGAUUUCUGUAUCAAAGCAAAACUUGCUUUACACUAUAAUUACAUUUGAAAUGAUAUAGCAUAAAUAUUAAAUGAUGGUAUAGACUGUGGCUGAUGUGGAGCUUUUUGUGGUAACACAGUAAGAUGCAAUGAGUAACACAUUACAGAACACAUGAUUGGAGAUCAUCACAGCCUCUUGCUCUGAAAGAAGAGUUCAAUGCUUUUUUCUGUAGCAUGUGUCACAGUGAUUCUAGAAAGUGAAGUUUUCAAAGCCACAUCUUAAUGAAGAGAUUCUCGUUAUUUACACAUCUGACCAAAGAAGGACAUGUGGGCAGAUACACGCAUCCAUCAUUAGCCAUCCUGUUGCUGCCUCACAGAUGCCCCGACCAUAUUGUUGUCAAAACAGCUUCAAUGUUGCUACAGUGCCCUAAUGAGGCAUAAAAUGUUCCUGUUUAUAAGACAGAUCUGUACACAUCUUCAUAAGGGUACAAGAGAAUAGUAUCUGAAAUAUGGCAUCUGCCAACUUUGCAGCAAUCUCUUAGUCUAACUCACCCUAUUUUCAGAAAAACUAUCUUCACGUAUUCAUUUAAUACAUGAUUUCAUUUACUGCUAUGUGGACAGCAUUGUCUCAAUGACUAUGGACAGUUCAAAAGAAGUUUAAGGCUUGGUUCUUGCCUCUAGAAGUCUUAAAUUCUAACCAGAGAAAUAAGAUUUACGUACAUAAAAUGGUCAUCACGUCAAAUGGACAGAAAUAAUAAUAACA
ensembl:lncRNA